rnacentral:rRNA from 1 species
ACCGCCCGUCGCUUCAUCGAAGUUGGUUUUAGGCGAGGUGGUGCGAUUUGGCAUUAUCGAACCUGAGAUCAGCAACGAGGGAG